GAACUUAGAAUACAUUAAGGGCUUGUUUGGUUCAAGGAUGGAAUUGGAAUGGAUAAUGGAAUGAGAAUGAAUUGGAAUGGUAAUUGGAACGGCCCACUCCUCUAAGAUGUUUGGUUUUUUUGUGGAUUGAGAAUUGGAAUGAGUUAUUCACAUUUCAUUGUUUGGUUCGUAUAAACUAAAAAAAUUAUAGGAUACUAUAAUACUAAUUUUACUCUCAAAUAUAAAUUUAUAUUAUUUAAAAUUUAUGAAAAAUAUAAUACUAUUCUCUAAUAAGUUUUUCAAAAAAAAAUAUCAAAUUUAUUUUUAAAAACUUUUAUUGAUGCGGGUUAGGGAUAGAGUUUUGAGAGAGAAUAGGUUUUUUUUUUUUGAUGAGAAAGGGGUGAAGAGAAGGAGGAUGAGAUGGUCACAUAGGCUUCGAGAAUUUAGUGGGCUUCCGGAAUGAAAUCUCAAUCCGGGUUAGAAGACCGGAAUCAAGUUGAAGACUAAUAGGUCAUUCUCAUUCCAGUCCGGAAUAGAAAUCUCAAACCGAUUCAUGCGAACCAAACAAAAUUAACCGGAUUUGAUCAAACCGAUUCCCAUUCCAUACCCAAAAUGGAUGAACCAAACAAGCCCU
rnacentral:lncRNA from 1 species